UAAGCGGAGGAGAAGAAAUUACGAGGAUCCCUCAGUACGGCGAGUGAAGAGGGAGGAGCCAGCCCGAAGCUGGCGGCUGGUUUGCUGUUAGGUCAAUGUGGUGUGUGGGUCGAUCGGCGGGACCACCACUCCGCUUGAAGUCCAGCAUUGAGUAUGGCAAUCAGUGGAUGUGGCCCAUAGAGGGUGAGAGGCCCGUAGCAGAAGCGAGAGUGGAGGCUAGGCAAGUGAGGUGGUUCACCAGGUCGGCCCUA
rnacentral:rRNA from 1 species